GAGAUGAAUUUUUCUCCGAAGUUUUCCCUCAAAAUGGCCAUAGAAUCGCGAGCUGUGUGGCAUGUAGCGCCAUCUUGUUGAAACCACAUGUCAACCAAGAUGCUAACAAACUUUUUGUUGCCAAAAAUGGAAGAACUGAACUUGUCUACAGAAAUAAGCCAGCAACUAUUCCAGCUUUGGAAGACAACAUUUCCGAAGAAAUUCGGGCUAUUCCGGCCGAAAUGCUCGAAAGAGUUGCCCAAAAUUGGACUUUCCGAAUGGACCACCUAAGAAGCAGCCGCGGUCAACAUUUAAAUGAAAUUAUCUUCAAAAAGUAAAUGUCAUGAACCAAUCUAACGUUUCAAAUAAAGAACCGAUGAGAUUUUGCAAAAA